rnacentral:rRNA from 1 species
GAUGAACGCUAGCGAUAGGCCUAACACAUGCAAGUCGAGGGGUAGCACAGAGUAGCAAUACUUGGGUGACGACCGGCGCACGGGUGAGUAACACGUAUGCAACCUACCUAUAACAGGGAGAUAACCCGGAGAAAUCCGGACUAAUACCCCAUAACACAGGGAUGCCGCAUGGCAAUAUUUGUUAAAGAUUAAUCGGUUAUAGAUGGGCAUGCGUUCCAUUAGCCAGUUGGUGAGGUAACGGCUCACCAAAGCAACGAUGGAUAGGGGAACUGAGAGGUUUGUCCCCCACACUGGAACUGAGACACGGACCAGACUCCUACGGGAGGCAGCAGUGAGGAAUAUUGGUCAAUGGGCGAGAGCCUGAACCAGCCAAAUCGCGUGAAGGAGGACUGCCCUACGGGUUGUAAACUUCUUUUAUAGGGGAAUAAAAAAGGGAACGAGUUCCCCAUUGUAUGUACCCUAUGAAUAAGCAUCGGCUAACUCCGUGCCAGCCGCCGCGGUAAAAC